rnacentral:rRNA from 1 species
UGGGGAAUAUUGCACAAUGGGCGCAAGCCUGAUGCAGCCAUGCCGCGGGUAUGAAGAAGGCCUUCGGGUUGUAAAGUACUUUCAGCGGGGAGGAAGGGAGUAAAGUUAAUACCUUUGCUCAUUGACGUUACCCGCAGAAGAAGCACCGGCUAACUCCGUGCCAGCAGCCGCGGUAAUACGGAGGGUGCAAGCGUUAAUCGGAAUUACUGGGCGUAAAGCGCACGCAGGCGGUUUGUUAAGUCAGAUGUGAAAUCCCCGGGCUUAACCUGGGAACUGCAUCUGAUACUGGUCAGCUAGAGUCUUGUAGAGGGGGGUAGAAUUCCAUGUGUAGCGGUGAACUGCGUAGAGCUGUUGAGGAAUACCGGUGGCGAAGGCGGCCCCCUGGACAAAGACUGACGCUCAGGUGCGAAAGCGUGGGGAGCAAACAGG